rnacentral:rRNA from 1 species
ACGCACGCUGGCGGCAUGCCUAACACAUGCAAGUCGAACGAACCCUUCGGGGUUAGUGGCGCACGGGUGCGUAACGCGUGGGAAUCUGCCCUUUGCUUCGGAAUAACUCAGGGAAACUUGUGCUAAUACCGGAUGAUGUCUUCGGACCAAAGAUUUAUCGGCAAGGGAUGAGCCCGCGUAGGAUUAGGUAGUUGGUGGGGUAAAGGCCUACCAAGCCGACGAUCCUUAGCUGGUCUGAGAGGAUGAUCAGCCACACUGGGACUGAGACACGGCCCAGACUCCUACGGGAGGCAGCAGUGGGGAAUAUUGGACAAUGGGCGCAAGCCUGAUCCAGCAAUGCCGCGUGAGUGAUGAAGGCCCUCGGGUCGUAAAGCUCUUUUACCAGGGAUGAUAAUGACAGUACCUGGAGAAUAAGCUCCGGCUAACUCCGUG